GCGAGAGUGGCGGAAUGGCAGACGCGCAAGUUUCAGAUGCUUGUGGUAGCAAUACUGUGUGGGUUCAAAUCCCAUCUCUCGCACCA
rnacentral:tRNA from 2 species